ACCGCAAAACGUUCUAUCGCUUCCAGCGCCUUGUUUGGGAGAGGAAAGUCCGGGCAACACAGAGCAUCCUGCUUCCUAACGGGAAGGCGCCGGCAGCCGGCGACAGCAAGUGCCACAGAAAAUAAACCGUCCGGCAGUAAUGACGGAUAAGGGUGAAAACGUGAGGUAAGAGCUCACGGCUUUUCCGGGCGACCGGGAUUGCGGUAAACCUCAGGAGUUGAAAAACCAAAUAGGUCCUGAAAGCGGAACUGCUCGUUUCCGUUUCCCGGCUACAAUCGGGGACGUCAGGAUGGGUAGGUUGAUUGAACCUGUCAGCAAUGGCAGGGCCAGAUUAAUGAUAGAAAUAAUCCGCCUUCAGGCGGAUUAAACAGGACCCGGCUUACAGAUUUGCUGCUGUA
rnacentral:RNase_P_RNA from 1 species